rnacentral:rRNA from 1 species
AUUGAACGCUGGCGGCAUGCUUUACACAUGCAAGUCGAACGGCAGCGCGGGCUUCGGCCUGGCGGCGAGUGGCGAACGGGUGAGUAAUACAUCGGAACGUGCCCAGUAGUGGGGGAUAGCUCGGCGAAAGCCGGAUUAAUACCGCAUACGACCUGAGGGUGAAAGCGGGGGAUCUUCGGACCUCGCGCUAUUGGAGCGGCCGAUGGCCGAUUAGCUAGUUGGUGGGGUAAAGGCCUACCAAGGCGACGAUCUGUAGCUGGUCUGAGAGGACGACCAGCCACACUAGGACUGAGACACGGCCCAGACUCCUACGGGAGGCAGCAGUGGGGAAUUUUGGACAAUGGGCGAAAGCCUGAUCCAGCAAUGCCGCGUGUGUGAUGAAGGCCUUCGGGUUGUAAAGCACUUUUGGCGGGAACGAAAAGGACUGUGCCAAUACCACGGUUCGAUGACGGUACCCGCAGAAUAAGCACCGGCUAACUACGUG